UACGAAGGGGGCUAGCGUUGCUCGGAAUCACUGGGCGUAAAGGGUGCGUAGGCGGGUCUUUAAGUCAGAGGUGAAAUCCUGGAGCUCAACUCCAGAACUGCCUUUGAUACUGGCGAUCUUUGAGUCCGGGAGAGGUGAGUGGAACUCCGAGUGUAGAGGUGAAAUUCGUAGAUAUUCGGAGGAACACCAGUGGCGAAGGCGGCUCACUGGUCCAUUACUGACGCUGAGGUGCGAAAGCGUGGGGAGCAAACAGG
rnacentral:rRNA from 1 species